UUAUGGCAUUCUGGAGACACCUAUUAAAUAGGGGCCGAAGGGGCAAGCAUAAGCUAAUCUCUCAGGCAAAAGGACAGAAAUGUUUUA
rnacentral:ncRNA from 2 species